rnacentral:lncRNA from 1 species
UCCCUCAGUGGCUCCUGGAUCAUCAAGUUCUGCCUUCUCUUCAAUGGGCUUCAGAGACCCACAGAGACACAUUCAUUUUCCUCAGGCUAUGCCGGCAGCCUAAGGACACCUAGAAAGAGCCCAUGUCACUCAGUGUAGAGUUUUCAGGGUGGGGCAUGGACUAAGUGGGGUCUGCCCUCCAGAUGUGACCACAACUAUAGCCUGGACCCCAGCUUUGCCAGGCAUUGGCUGGGCUGCCCUGGGCAAGUCACUACCCAUCUUUGGGGUUCUGCCUUCAGGAAAUGGAGCCUGGGCUUGGGAUUCUGGAUUCACCUUAUGAAACAGCUCACUGAACUGCUCUCAACCUCUCUCUGCCUAAGAAGGAUGCAGGGCAGAUGCUGCCAGAGAGAACUGUGACUUCCCCAACACCGUUCUGCAAAGAUGGAGAACCCACAUUUGGUCCCCUGGACAGCUCUGAAGGAGCUAGGCAUCCCCGGGUUAAGGUCACCAGACAGGGACCAUACAGCCAUAAGCUGUGUCCUCUAGAGAUGGCACAGGCUUUCCUAAAGCGAGACACGGCCCAGCCUGGAGAACAGGAGGAGAGUGGGGGAAGACACAGGCCUCACACAUGUUCCUCCAGCAUGGAGGGCCAGCUGGAACACACAUUCCCCUGAGCACAAGGCUCCAGGAAAGAGCAGGGAACAAACAGCCUCGCCCCUCGGACCUCAAUGCCAGCAAGGACCCAGGAAACAGAUAUCCAAUCCCCAAGAGCAAUCUCGCUCACCUGUGUGCAGAGAGGCGGCCAAGGAGGGAAGCCCUGGCCAGGGACUGGAGCUAGCUAGGGCCCAGAGCUCUAGAGGAGCGUAGUGGAAGGGGGGAAUCGGUGUUCCUGACAGAAAAGCCAGGAACUGACUGAGCCCUGGGGCCAGAGCUCAGAGGGGCUGGGGCCCUUAGGAGAUUCAGCCACACCGGCCAGGUGAGAGGGUCAAGGGCAUCUCAAACAAGAAGGGCUCUGACACCAUUUGGCCAGCACCAGGGAGCUGUAGAGGGGUUCAGCAAGGAUGCCGAGUGCAAGGAUGCUGUGUGCAAACCCGCU